rnacentral:rRNA from 1 species
GAUGAACGCUGGCGGCGUGCCUAAUACAUGCAAGUCGAGCGAACAGAUGAGGAGCUUGCUCCUCUGACGUUAGCGGCGGACGGGUGAGUAACACGUGGAUAACCUACCUAUAAGACUGGGAUAACUUCGGGAAACCGGAGCUAAUACCGGAUAAUAUAUUGAACCGCAUGGUUCAAUAGUGAAAGACGGUUUUGCUGUCACUUAUAGAUGGAUCCGCGCCGCAUUAGCUAGUUGGUAAGGUAACGGCUUACCAAGGCAACGAUGCGUAGCCGACCUGAGAGAGUGAUCGGCCACACGAGAACUGGGACACGGUCCAUGCGCCUACGGGAGGCAGCAGUAGGGAAUCUUCCGCAAUAGGCGAAAGCCUGACGGAGCAACGCCGCGUGAGUGAUGAAGGUCUUCGGAUCGUAAAACUCUGUUAUUAGGGAAGAACAAAUGUGUAAGUAACUAUGCACGUCUUGACGGUACCUAAUCAGAAAGCCACGGCUAACUACGUG